UACGGAGGAUGCAAGCGUUAUCCGGAAUGAUUGGGCGUAAAGCGUCCGCAGGUGGCUAUGUAAGUCUGCUGUUAAAGAGUGAGGCUCAACCUCAUAAGAGCAGUGGAAACUACAUAGCUAGAGUGCGUUCGGGGCAGAGGGAAUUCCUGGUGUAGUGGUGAAAUGCGUAGAUAUCAGGAAGAACACCGGUGGCGAAAGCGCUCUGCUAGGCCGCAACUGACACUGAGGGACGAAAGCUAGGGGAGCGAAUGGG
rnacentral:rRNA from 1 species